rnacentral:lncRNA from 1 species
UCCAUCUUUGGCAUGGAUUAGAAAAUUCCGCUGUGGCGUUGGCAGGGCUUACGCCGGCACCAGAACAUUAAAGAAACCUCGCAUUGAGGGCUACGAAGAACAAAGAAGAUGGAUCACGUGUCUCCCAGGCUGAGAGCCUUCCUCUCUGAACCCAUUGGAGAAAAGGAUGUUGUCUGGGUCGAUGGGAUCAGCCAUGAGCUUGCAAUCAAUUUGGUCACCAAAGGUUUCAACAAGCUGCUAGCCAAGGAGGGUGAUCGGUAAAAAUGCCACUAGUCCAACUGACGUGUGCUGUCAGCCUAGAGCGCGCAUUGAUUUCAGGACAAAGACUGAUUUCAAGAAAAAAAAAAAGAAGAGAAGACAGAGACCCACAGUGAAAAGGCAGCCACGUGACAAUGGAGGCAGAGACUGGAGUGAUCCACCCACAGGCCAAGGACUGCCAGGGAUUGCCCACACACACCGGAAGCUGGAAGAGCUAGGAAUGAUGCUCCCCUGCGGUAUCAGAGGGAGCAGGUCCCUGCGGGCACCUCGAUUUUCGAUUUCCAGCCUCUGGAACUGUGAGACAAUAAAUCUGUGUUGUUUCAAGCCAUCUGGUUUGUGGUACUUUGUUACACCAACCCCAGG